CCUCAAAUCAGGUAGGACUACCCGCUGAACUUAAGCAUAUCAAUAAGCGGAGGAAAAGAAACUAACAAGGAUUCCCCCAGUAACUGCGAGUGAAGAGGGAAGAGCUCAAAUUUAGAAUCUGGCAGUCUUUGGCUGUCCGAGUUGUAAAUUAGAGAAGUGUUAUCCGCGCUGGACUGUGCAUAAGUCUCUUGGAAAAGGGCAUCAUAGAGGGUGACAAUCCCGUCUUUGGCACAGACUCCCAGGGCUUUGUGAUGCGCUCUCGAUGAGUCGAGUUGUUUGGGAAUGCAGCUCUAAAUGGGUGGUAAAUUCCAUCUAAAGCUAAAUAUUGGCGAGAAACCGAUAGCGCACAAGUACCGUGAGGGAAAGAUGAAAAGAACUUUGAAAAGAGAGUUAAACAGUACGUGAAAUUGUUGAAAGGGAAACGCUUGAAGUCAGUCACAUCUUUCAGAAAUCAACCUGACUUGUCUGGUGUACUUUCUGUUAUGAUGGGUCAGCAUCAAUUUUGACCGUUGGAUAAAGGCUUAGGGAAAGUGGCAUCUCCGGAUGUGUUAUAGCCCUUGGUUACACAAUGGUUGGGAUUGAGGAACUCAGUGCUUUUUGCACUCAGGAUGCUGGCAUAAU
rnacentral:rRNA from 1 species